rnacentral:rRNA from 1 species
AGCGAACGCUGGCGGCAGGCCUAACACAUGCAAGUCGAACGAACCUUUCGGGGUUAGUGGCGGACGGGUGAGUAACACGUGGGAACGUGCCUUUAGGUUCGGAAUAACUCAGGGAAACUUGUGCUAAUACCGAAUGUGCCCUUCGGGGGAAAGAUUUAUCGCCUUUAGAGCGGCCCGCGUCUGAUUCGCUAGUUGGUUGAGGUAAUGGCUCACCCAGGCGACGAUCAGUAGCUGGUCUGAGAGGAUGAUCAGCCACAUUGGGACUGAGACACGGCCCAAACUCCUACGGGAGGCAGCAGUGGGGAAUCUUGCGCAAUGGGCGAAAGCCUGACGCAGCCAUGCCGCGUGAAUGAUGAAGGUCUUAGGAUUGUAAAAUUCUUUCACCGGGGACGAUAAUGACGGUACCCGGAGAAGAAGCCCCGGCUAACUUCGUG